GAUCGAGUUUGAUCCUGGCUCAGAUUGAACGCUGGCGGCAUGCCUUACACAUGCAAGUCGAACGGCAGCACGGGUGCUUGCACCUGGUGCGAGUGGCGGAACGGGUGAGUAAUAUAUCGGAACGUACCUUAUUGUGGGGGAUAACGCAGCGAAAGCUGUGCUAAUACCGCAUAAUCCCUUAGGGGGGAAAGCGGGGGACCGUAAGGCCUCGCGCAAUUAGAGCGGCCGAUACCCUGAUUAGCUAGUUGGUGAGGUAAAGGCUCACCAAGGCAACGAUCAGUAGCUGGUCUGAGAGGACGAUCAGCC
rnacentral:rRNA from 1 species